rnacentral:rRNA from 1 species
UGGGGAAUUUUGGACAAUGGGCGCAAGCCUGAUCCAGCAAUGCCGCGUGCAGGAUGAAGGCCUUCGGGUUGUAAACUGCUUUUGUACGGAACGAAAAGGCUCUCACUAAUACUGGGGGUUGAUGACGGUACCGUAAGAAUAAGCACCGGCUAACUACGUGCCAGCAGCCGCGGUAAUACGUAGGGUGCGAGCGUUAAUCGGAAUUACUGGGCGUAAAGCGUGCGCAGGCGGUGAUGUAAGACAGAUGUGAAAUCCCUGGGCUCAACCUAGGAACUGCAUUUGUGACUGCAUUGCUGGAGUGCGGCAGAGGGGGAUGGAAUUCCGCGUGUAGCAGUGAAAUGCGUAGAUAUGCGGAGGAACACCGAUGGCGAAGGCAAUCCCCUGGGCCUGCACUGACGCU